CCUACGGGUGGCAGCAGUGGGGAAUAUUGGGCAAUGGGCGCAAGCCUGACCCAGCAACGCCGCGUGAAGGAAGAAGGCUUUCGGGUUGUAAACUUCUUUUCUCAGGAACGAAGCAAGUGACGGUACCUGAGGAAUAAGCCACGGCUAACUACGUGCCAGCAGCCGCGGUAAGACGUAGGUGGCAAGCGUUAUCCGGAUUUACUGGGUGUAAAGGGCGUGUAGGCGGGAAAGCAAGUCAGAUGUGAAAACCAUGGGCUCAACCUGUGGCCUGCAUUUGAAACUGUUUUUCUUGAGUACUGGAGAGGCAGACGGAAUUCCUAGUGUAGCGGUGAAAUGCGUAGAUAUUAGGAGGAACACCAGUGGCGAAGGCGGUCUGCUGGGCAGCAACUGACGCUGAGGCUCGAAAGUGUGGGGAGCAAACAGGAUUAGAUACCCCUGUAGUC
rnacentral:rRNA from 1 species